rnacentral:rRNA from 1 species
GACGAAGGGGGCUAGCGUUGUUCGGAAUUACUGGGCGUAAAGCGCGUGUAGGCGGUUAUUCAAGUCAGGUGUGAAAGCCUUGAGCUCAACUCAAGAAAUGCACUUGAUACUGGGUGACUAGAGGGCCGGAGAGGAUAGUGGAAUUCCCAGUGUAGUGGUGAAAUACGUAGAGAUUGGGAAGAACACCAGUGGCGAAGGCGGCUAUCUGGACGGUUACUGACGCUAAGACUCGAAAGCGUGGGGAGCAAACAGG